rnacentral:rRNA from 1 species
GACGAACGCUGGCGGCGUGCUUAACACAUGCAAGUCGAACGGAAAGGCCCUGCUUGCGGGGUGCUCGCGUGGCGAACGGGGGAGUAACACGCGUGUGUACCGCCCUGCAGAUCGUGGUAUGCCUUGGAAACAGGGGGGAUUAUCGGGGAUGAGAGCUCAUGCUGCGUGGGGGGGGGUGGGAAGUUUCGGUGGGGGGGGAGGGGCCCGCGGCUUAUCAGCUUGUUGGUGGGGUAGUGGCUUACCAAGGCGUCGGCGGGUAGCCGGCCUGAGAGGGUGGCCGGCCACAUUGGGACUGAGAUACGGCCCAGACUCCUACGGGAGGCAGCAGUGGGGAAUAUUGCACAAUGGGCGGAAGCCUGAUGCAGCAACGCCGCGUGGGGGAUGACGGCCUUCGGGUUGUAAACCGCUUUCGACAGGGACGAAGCGUCAGUGACGGUACCUGUAUAAGAAGCACCGGCUAACUACGUG